UACCUGCAGCUCGAGUGGUAACCGCUAUUAUUGGGCCUAAAGCGUCCGUAGCCGGUUUGGUAAAUAUCUGGGUAAAUCGUGAGGCUUAACUUCACGAAUUUCGGAUAGACUGCCAGACUUGGGAUCGGGGGAGGUCAGAGGUACUCCAGGGGUAGCGGUGAAAUGUUGUAAUCCUUGGAGGACCACCGGUAGCGAAGGCGUCUGACUAGAACGAGUCCGACGGUGAGGGACGAAGCCCUGGGGCGCAAACCGGAUUAGAUACCCGGGUAGUCCAGGGUGUAAACAAUGUGGGCUUUGUAUUGGAGGUCCCACGUGGGCGUCCAGUGCAGAAGAGAAGUUGUUAAGCCCACCGCCUGGGAAGUACGGUCGCAAGGCUGAAACUUAAGGAAUUGGCGGGGAGCACAGCAACGGGAGGAGCGUGCGGUUU
rnacentral:rRNA from 1 species